rnacentral:tRNA from 1 species
GCUGCUAUAGCUCAGCAGGUAGAGCGCGUCCUUGGUAAGGACGAGGUCCCCGGUUCAAGCCCGGGUAGCAGCUCCA